rnacentral:rRNA from 1 species
GGUCUCCGUUGGUGAACCAGCGGAGGGAUCAUUACCGAGUUUACAACUCCCAAACCCCUGUGAACAUACCUUAAUGUUGCCUCGGCGGAUCAGCCCGCGCCCCGUAAAACGGGACGGCCCGCCAGAGGACCCAAACUCUAAUGUUUCUUAUUGUAACUUCUGAGUAAAACAAACAAAUAAAUCAAAACUUUCAACAACGGAUCUCUUGGUUCUGGCAUCGAUGAAGAACGCAGCAAAAUGCGAUAAGUAAUGUGAAUUGCAGAAUUCAGUGAAUCAUCGAAUCUUUGAACGCACAUUGCGCCCGCUGGUAUUCCGGCGGGCAUGCCUGUUCGAGCGUCAUUUCAACCCUCAAGCCCCCGGGUUUGGUGUUGGGGAUCGGCUCUGCCUUCUGGCGGUGCCGCCCCCGAAAUACAUUGGCGGUCUCGCUGCAGCCUCCAUUGCGUAGUAGCUAACACCUCGCAACUGGAACGCGGCGCGGCCAUGCCGUAAAACCCCAACUUCUGAAUGUUGACCUCGGAUCAGGUAGGAAUACCCGCUGAACUUAAGCAUAUCAAUAA